rnacentral:rRNA from 1 species
AUUGAACGCUGGCGGCAUGCCUUACACAUGCAAGUCGAACGGCAGCAUGGAAGAGCUUGCUCUUCUGAUGGCGAGUGGCGAACGGGUGAGUAAAGCAUCGGAACGUACCGUGUAGUGGGGGAUAACGUAGCGAAAGUUACGCUAAUACCGCAUACGCACUGAGGUGGAAAGCAGGGGAUCGCAAGACCUUGCGCUAUACGAGCGGCCGAUGUCAGAUUAGCUAGUUGGUAGGGUAAAGGCCUACCAAGGCGACGAUCUGUAGCGGGUCUGAGAGGAUGAUCCGCCACACUGGGACUGAGACACGGCCCAGACUCCUACGGGAGGCAGCAGUGGGGAAUUUUGGGACAAUGGGCGAAAGCCUGAUCCAGCCAUGCCGCGUGAGUGAAGAAGGCCUUC